AAAAAAAUUGGACCGUUGGAUUUAGCUCAAAUCGAUUCAAAACUGAACCUAAAUUACAAUCUUAGGAUUCACGAUUUCGAUUCUGAGUUGGCUCGAAUCAGAACCGGCUCGGUAGCGAUAUAUAUAUCUAUAUGAAAUGAUGUUGGAUAUAAUUUCUCAAACUUAAAGCGAGUCUAAACAAGAAACGCCAGAUGUUGAAGAUGGUCGAAGCUGCAAUGGUCACCCAAGUCCACGUAAAGCCCCCUCUCUCCACGACCCCAUAUGUUUGCAUUUCAACAGGAAAUCUAAGAAGGAAGACAAGGGGAACGAAAUUAGCAAAGUCAUGUAAAGCUUGGAAGCUUAUUGCUGCUGCUUCCGCUUCGUCUUCGUCUUCUUCUGGGUCUUUUAAUCGAACAGUUGGUGAACAAUUGUUUCGUGGAAAUGAAAUUAGCGGAAAUAAAAAAGAGAGGAGUAAAAGCAAGAAAAGGGUGUUUUUCUUGGAUGUCAAUCCUCUUUGUUAUGCUGGAAGCACACCGAGCUUGGACUUUUUUGGUUACUGGAUUUCUCUUUUCUUCUCUCAAGUCAGCCUUAGCGACCCUGUUAUUGCUGUUCUUGAUGGAGAAGGGGGUAGUGAGCACCGCAGACAGCUGUUGCCUUCAUAUAAAGCACAUAGGAGAAAAUUCUUAAGCCAAUUAUCAGCUUGUCACAAAUUUUCAAUGGAUCAUGUUCGAAGGUCUCAAGUUGUCAUUGAUGUUCUAAGAAAAUGCAAUGUUCCAGUUGUAAAAAUGGAAGGCCAUGAAGCAGAUGACGUGGUCGCGACACUUGUAGGACAAGUCUUACAAAGAGGAUAUAGGGUGGUUAUUGCCUCGCCGGAUAAAGAUUUCAAGCAGUUGAUUUCUGAAGAUGUGCAGAUUGUUUUGCCUGUUACAGAGCUAAAACGGUGGUCCUUUUACACCGUGAAGCACUAUAAUGCUCAAUAUAAUUGUGAUCCAUGCUCUGAUCUGAGUUUUAGAUGUAUUAUGGGUGAUGAGGUUGAUGGCGUUCCUGGGAUACAAAACAUGGCUCCUGGGUUUGGUCGAAAGACUGCUUUAAAGCUUUUGAAAAAACACGGUUCAUUGGAAAAUUUGCUAAAUGCGGCAGCAGUAAGAACUGUGGGCAAACAAUAUGCACAAGAUGCCCUCACAAAACAUGCUGAUUUUUUGCGCAGGAAUUAUGAGGUUCUGGCACUGAAGAGGGAUGUUGAUGUUCAUCUUCAGGAGGAAUGGUUGAUUGAAAGAGAUAGAUGCAAUGAUUCCAUUAUCCUGUCUAACUUCCUCAAGGUGUUGGAAGAAAACAAAAUGCCCUUUCAGCAAAAGAGAUCUCAUUCUUGAAGUGGUUAAGGCCCCAACGGUGGGGCUCUGUUGCUAGUCUUAUUGGUUUUUGGCUUGGCUACAUUACAUGGUUCUCAUUCCAUUUUUACAUAUGGUUUAUUUGAAGAACCCUGCUAUCUGACAACCAUUGCAUUCCCUUGGCAGAGGAGAGUUUAUAUAUGCUAAGAAAUGUUAUUUUCCCUGGACCAGAAAAGUAUGGGCAUAAAAUUGAUAAGGUGGUGAAGAGUGAGCUGGGAAAUGAAGAAUGUAGAACUGUACAGUGAAUACCACUUCUUUGAUCUAUGAGCUGUAGCAGCAUUGGAAGUUAAUGUCUAGUGAAGCUGAUAUUGGAACCAAUUUUCAGGUUAUAAUUUCCAAAGAUGGGUAACUGUGGAGAGCUUAGAUAGAACUUUUGUUUCUGGUUACAAUUUGCUAGAGGGAAUUGUAAUUUUUUAUCACUGUGAAAUAGUCGCUGGUUGUAAUUUAUAAUGGUUAUGGAUCUGCUAAAGCUCCAGAGUGAACACAGCAUUUUUGGAUGGAGAAUGUUCCAAGUGCUGCUGUAUACUGCACUUUCACUUCUGUUGUUGAAGAUGCAGUAGUUACAAUUUUGUGCAACAUCUGAUAACCUCCACAAUUGUGUAUGCCUCUAGGCAAAUCUUGUUCAGUGAUUUGGGCUCACUAGCCUGAACUUGUGCCA